CUUCAGUCCUGGUAUGGGCUGUAGCAAGUACUGCUGCUGCUGUCCAUCCCCUCUGCCCACGUGAGUUCUCCUGCAUGCAGGUUCUGACAUCUCUUUCUACAGUGGUGGAGUCAGCCCUCCUUUUUGCUUGGGGACAUUCUCAGGUGCUGCAGAAACUUGCUGUGCCAUGGACAAGUUUAUUGUGAAAUCAGGAGGUUUCAUAGGGAGCCACACGGAGGCAACCGUGAGGGCAGAAGAAAAUGGAAAACAAAGACAAACAAACCAAAGAAGGAGGAUGAAGUAGAAGCCAUUCAUUCUUUCCAUGAACAUUGACCCUAUAUCCUGAAGGCGGAUCGAAUGAAAAAAGAGAAGCAGCAAGGUAAAUUCUAGAAAAGACUAAACAUUUUCCUCUCUUUGGUGUAGAGAAAAGUGAACGAAAAACAGGGUUUUUUUUAGAUUUUAUUAAUGUUAUGAUAUCUGAUAAUGAGACUGUUCUAAUACCCGAAAGGAACCCAAAAUCUUUGGAAUCCAUCCAAGGUAUCUUUCAUACACAGCACAGGGAGAACU
rnacentral:lncRNA from 1 species